rnacentral:rRNA from 1 species
CAAUUGGAAAGAGGAUGUGGCGGACGGGUGAGUAACACGUGGGUAACCUACCCAUCAGAGGGGGAUAACACUUGGAAACAGGUGCUAAUAUGCAUAACAGCUUACUCCGCAUGGCAUAAGAGGAAAGGCGCUUUCGGGUGUCGAUGAUGGAUGGACCCGCGGUGCUUAGCUAGUAGGUGAGGUAAGGCUCACCAAGGCCACGAUGCAUAGCCGACCUGAGAGGGUGAUCGGCCACAUGGGAGUGAGACACGGCCCAGACUCCUACGGGAGGCAGCAGUAGGGAAUUUUCGGCAAUGGACGAAAGUCUGACCGAGCAACGCCGCGUGAGUGAAGAAGGUUUUUCGGAUCGUAAAACUCUGUUGUUA